GCGGUUGUGGCGGAAUUGGCAGACGCGCUAGAUUCAGGUUCUAGUGAGAAAUCGUGCAGGUUCAACUCCUGUCAACCGCACCA
rnacentral:tRNA from 1 species